rnacentral:rRNA from 1 species
UACGGAGGGAGCUAGCGUUGUUCGGAAUCACUGGGCAUAAAGCGCACGUAGGCGGCUGGGUCCGUCCGAUGUGAAAGCCCCCGGCUCAACCGGGGAAUUGCAUCGGAUACAGCCCGGCUUGAGGACGGUUGGGGUGAGUGGAACUCCUGGUGGAGCGGUGAAAUGCGUAGAUAUCAGGAGGAACACCGGUGGCGAAAGCGGCUCACUGGACCGUUUCUGACGCUGAGGUGCGAAAGCUAGGGGAGCAAACGGG